AAUAAGAAAUGAUAUAAUAAAGUUUCAAAAAUAAUAUAUACAAAUAUUAAAAAUAAAAUAAAUAAAAUAAUAUAAAUAUAUAAAAAUUAAAAAAUAUGUACAGCUUUUGGAAGGAGAGGUUGGGAUUGGGAUCAACAUGAGGAGUGGGGGUGAGAGAAAGGAGGAAGAUUAGGUCAAGGAAUGGAGAGCAGCUAGAAAAAGGACAGCGCACAAGUGAUUGGGAGUUGGAUGUGGGUUGGAGAUAGAGAGACGUAAGAAAAGAGUUAUAAUGUAGGGAAGG
rnacentral:lncRNA from 1 species